AGUGAACGCUGGCGGUAGGCCUAACACAUGCAAGUCGAACGGCAGCACAGUAAGAGCUUGCUCUUACGGGUGGCGAGUGGCGGACGGGUGAGGAAUACAUCGGAAUUUACUUUUUCGUGGGGGAUAACGUAGGGAAACUUACGCUAAUACCGCAUACGACCUACGGGUGAAAGCAGGGGAUCUUCGGACCUUGCGCGAUUGAAUGAGCCGAUGUCGGAUUAGCUAGUUGGCGGGGUAAAGGCCCACCAAGGCGACGAUCCGUAGCUGGUCUGAGAGGAUGAUCAGCCACACUGGAACUGAGACACGGUCCAGACUCCUACGGGAAGCAGCAGUGGGGAAUAUUGGACAAUGGGCGCAAGCCUGAUCCAGACAUACCGCGUGGGUGAAGAAGGCCUUCGGGUUGUAAAGCCCUUUUGUUGGGAAAGAAAAGCAGCAGGUUAAUACCCCGCUGUUCUGACGGUACCCAAAGAAUAAGCACCGGCUAACUUCGUG
rnacentral:rRNA from 1 species